rnacentral:lncRNA from 1 species
CAGGGCAGGGAUGCAGAACGGGUUGGGGAUUUUUCCAUCUUAGACCCAUUUGCCUGUCAGUCUAGGGAAGGCUAAUUAUUCUUCUUUGUCUGUAAAAGAGCUGGAUUCAGCUUAAAAAGUGAAACUACAAGUGUUUACAGGACUCCAAAGGCUAGAAGAGUGAAUGCAUUUUCGCAGGAAAAUGCCUGUAUCCAUGGAGACCUGUGAGGUUCUUUAUACACACACCCUCCCCCCACCUCAGGGAGUCAUUGGAGGCUGCUGAAGCUGUUAGCGGUUCAUGUCCUUAGGAAAAGUGACAGAUUGAUUGUAGUUAUAGAGACUGGGGGCUUUCCUCUUCUCAAGGGUCACCCCUCCUCCUCAUGCUGUGCUGAGCAAGGACACAGGGCAGCGAUCCAGCGUCCUCGGUGCCUCCAGGAGCAGGGAUUAUAGACACGGAGCAUCCUGGCAGUAAAACACUCCAGGGUUCUUAAUGACUAUUGAUCCGGAAGAAAGAUUUCCUCCCAGGAGGCAUUUAUGUCACAAGGAAUGGUCGAACUAAAGGGUACAAGUGGAAGACCAAACCUCCUGCUUCAGGGGGGCCGCAGAGAGCUGGCUGCUCUCUCCAAGGUACUCUGGCAAUAAGGAACAGAAGCAGGAUUUAUUUAACUCGGAUUCUCUGACCCAAGAUUCACUACUUUUUGUCCAGUGAGAGGAAAUGAGUUCCUGGGGGCUAAAUUUGGGCUUGAGGAGACUAGGGCUCCAAACCUCCUUUUUCCUUUUGGUUAUGGUUGUAUAAAUUUGAUAAAAAAAAAAAAAACACACACACACACACACACUUUAAAUGCAAGAUUUCAUGUAGAACUUAACAACCAAGCCCAACAGUCAAACUUGUAGAAUUGGGGGCUGUUUGUUCAAAGGAAAGAUCAGGGUACUGUCUCUGAGCCCUGGCAGGUGCCACAAUCUAGGACUCCCCCAUCCCUGACCUCCGUGCCCUCAUCCAUACAAUGAAAAGGUCGGAGUGAUCAAAUGUUCUCUUUCUGAAAAGCCUUUAAAUAAAAACAGAACAAAACCAAAAACUGGGCUCUUGGCACAUUUUCUCACAUUGGGGAAAGAGUCAUCAAGGUCUGGAAGGGCAGAUUUGGGGACCUUAUGAAGCCCAGGGGGCCGCUUGUCAAUGAAAC